UAAAAGCCAUCCCAGUUCGGAUUGCAGGCUGCAACCCGCCUGUAUGAAGUUGGAAUCGCUAGUAAUCGCGGAUCAGCAUGCCGCGGUGAAUACGUUCCCGGGCCUUGUACACACCGCCCGUCACACCAUGAGAGUCGGGAACACCCGAAGUCCGUAGUCUAACCGCAAGGGGACGCGGCCGAAGGUGGGUUCGAUAAUUGGGGUGAAGUCGUAACAAGGUAGC
rnacentral:rRNA from 1 species